rnacentral:rRNA from 1 species
AUUGAACGCUGGCGGCAGGCCUAACACAUGCAAGUCGAACGGUAACAGGAAACAGCUUGCUGUUUCGCUGACGAGUGGCGGACGGGUGAGUAAUGUCUGGGAAACUGCCUGAUGGAGGGGGAUAACUACUGGAAACGGUAGCUAAUACCGCAUAACGUCGCAAGACCAAAGAGGGGGACCUUCGGGCCUCUUGCCAUCGGAUGUGCCCAGAUGGGAUUAGCUAGUAGGUGGGGUAACGGCUCACCUAGGCGACGAUCCCUAGCUGGUCUGAGAGGAUGACCAGCCACACUGGAACUGGGACACGGUCCAGACUCCUACGGGAGGCAGCAGUGGGGAAUAUUGCACAAUGGGCGCAAGCCUGAUGCAGCCAUGCCGCGUGUAUGAAGAAGGCCUUCGGGUUGUAAAGUACUUUCAGCGGGGAGGAAGGGAGUAAAGUUAAUACCUUUACUCAUUGACGUUACCCGCAGAAGAAGCACCGGCUAACUCCGU